rnacentral:tRNA from 1 species
AUAUAUAUAGUAUAAAAAAUUACAUUUAACUUCCAAUUAAAAAAUUUUCAAAAAAAUAUAUAUA